GAUGAACGCUGGCGGCGCGCCUAACACAUGCAAGUCGAACGAUUAAAGCACCUUCGGGUGUGUAUAAAGUGGCGAACGGCUGAGUAACACGUGGGCAACCUGCCCCUUUCAUUGGGAUAGCCACGGGAAACCGUGGAUAAUACCGAAUACUUCGAGACUUCCGCAUGGAAGACUCGAGAAAGCUCCGGCGGAGAGGGAUGGGCCCGCGGCCUGUUAGCUUGUUGGUGGGGUAACGGCCUACCUAGGCAAUGAUGGGUAGCUGGGUUGAGAGACCGACCAGCCAGAUUGGGACUGAGACACGGCCCAGACUCCUACGGGAGGCAGCAGUGGGGAAUCUUGCACAAUGGGCGAAAGCCUGAUGCAGCGACGCCGCGUGCGGGAUGAAGGCCUUCGGGUUGUAAACCGCUUUCAGCAGGGACGAGGCGAAAGUGACGGUACCUGCAGAAGAAGCCCCGGCUAACUACGUG
rnacentral:rRNA from 1 species